rnacentral:RNase_P_RNA from 1 species
AGCGCAGGCCGCCUUAUCGCGCAUCAAUUCGUUGAUGGGAGGAAAGUCCGGACACCACAGGGAAGCAUAGCGGCUAACGGCCGUCGUCGUAUAGCUCGUGCUAUACGAUAGGACUAGUGCAACAGAAAGGAUGUACAGGUAAUGCUGUAGUGAAAUCGUGUAAACUCUAUGCGGUGAAAUACCACGUAAACUUACAUUCGAGGGUUCCCGCCCAACGUAAGAGGGUAGGUAGAUAGAACUAUUUGGCAACAAAUGGUCCAGAUAAAUGAUAAGGGCUCUUUAAUGUAAAUUGAAGAGAACAGAAUCCGGCUUACAGGCCUGCAUUUUUU